rnacentral:misc_RNA from 1 species
UACGGAGGAUGCAAGCGUUAUCCGGAAUCAUUGGGUUUAAAGGGUCCGUAGGCGGGAUGUUAAGUCAGGGGUGAAAGUUUGCAGCUCAACUGUAAAAUUGCCUUUGAUACUGGCGUUCUUGAAUUAUUGUGAAGUGGUUAGAAUGUGUAGUGUAGCGGUGAAAUGCAUAGAUAUUACACAGAAUACCGAUUGCGAAGGCAGAUCACUAACAAUGAAUUGACGCUGAUGGACGAAAGCGUGGGGAGCGAACAGG